rnacentral:rRNA from 1 species
GUCUCUGGCCAUGCCACCCUGAACAAACCUGGUCCCCUCUGAUCUGGAAAGCUAAGCGGGGUCGGGAGCUAAGCUAAGCUAAGAUGGGAGACCACCUAGGAAGACCAGGUGCUGUAGGCG